UACGGGGGGGGCAAGCGUUGUUCGGAAUUACUGGGCGUAAAGGGCUCGUAGGCGGCCAACUAAGUCAGACGUGAAAUCCCCAGGCUCAACCUGGGAACUGCGUCUGAUACUGGAUGGCUUGAAUCCGGGAGAGGGAUGCAGAAUUCCAGGUGUAGCGGUGAAAUGCGCAGAUAUCGGGAGGAACACCAAUGGCGAAGGCAGCUCGCUGGGACGGUACUGACGCUGAGACGCGAAAGCGUGGGGAGCAAACGGG
rnacentral:rRNA from 1 species